UACGUAGGUGACCAGCGUUGUCCGGAUUUACUGGGCGUAAAGAGCGCGCAGGCGGUCGUUCAAGUCGAGUGUGAAAGCCCCCGGCUCAACUGGGGAGGGUCAUUCGAUACUGAUCGACUCGAAGGCAGGAGAGGGAAGCGGAAUUCCCGGGUGUAGUGGUGAAAUGCGUAGAUAUCGGGAGGAACACCAGUGGCGAAGGCGG
rnacentral:rRNA from 1 species